GACGAACGCUGGCGGCGUGCUUAACACAUGCAAGUCGAGCGGUAAGGCCCUUCGGGGUACACGAGCGGCGAACGGGUGAGUAACACGUGAGUAAUCUGCCCAUCACUUCGGGAUAACUCCGGGAAACCGGUGCUAAUACCGAAUAUGACCACUUCAGGCAUCUGAUGGUGGUGGAAAGUUCCGGCGGUGAUGGAUGAGCUCGCGGCCUAUCAGCUUGUUGGUGGGGUAGUGGCCUACCAAGGCUUCGACGGGUAGCCGGCCUGAGAGGGUGACCGGCCACACUGGGACUGAGACACGGCCCAGACUCCUACGGGAGGCAGCAGUGGGGAAUAUUGGACAAUGGGCGCAAGCCUGAUCCAGCAACGCCGCGUGAGGGAUGACGGCCUUCGGGUUGUAAACCUCUUUCAGCAGGGACGAAGCGCAAGUGACGGUACCUGCAGAAGAAGCACCGGCCAACUACGUG
rnacentral:rRNA from 1 species